rnacentral:lncRNA from 1 species
GGGACAAGAGUUACGAUUCAGUAUAAAAAAAAAUGUUAUCUAGUGAAAUCUAUGAUCAAAAAAUUAAGAAAAAAGCCCACUGAAAUCAUAUGAACAUAAAAUAUACAUAUAAGUUUUCUACAAAAUGCUUCUUGUUACUGGAAUACAAUGGCAGUGAUGUUCUCAUUUUCCAGCUCCAUUGUCAUAAGGAGUUUCUGGGUUUUCCAUCCAUUACCUCUUUUAUUUUAACAACAACUCUGGUAGAUAAAACUAUCACUAGUGCUCAUCAGUCCCUGAUUAUCUUUUUUUCCCAGGCAGACAGAAGACUGCAUUUUCCAGCCUCUCCCUGGCUGGGUGUGGCUGUGUGUUUAGUUCCAGGCAUUGGGCAGGGAAAAGAAGUGAUGUGUGCACCCUCAGGCCAAAGCACUCUGCAGGAAAAUAGAGUUUUAACCCCUGCCAUUGUUCAGCUCAUUUUCUCAGAGGUCACAGCCCAUUCUGCGGGUGUCAAUACCAUGGAAUUCCAGAAUUAAAAUGAAUACUCAGUUGAAUAAUAAAAUUAUACGAGC